rnacentral:antisense_RNA from 1 species
GCGAGGUCGCUGGCCGAGGACCAGGCGCGGGAGCGGGAGCGGGCGACUGGCCUGGCCCUCCCGGUCUCGACAGCCAGUUCUAGCUCCCGGCCCAGCCAGGAGACGCAGGUGCCACGGAGAUGGGCAGCCGGGCGGGUGGCGCAGUGCAGGCAGCUGUAUCAAUCGCUUCCCCUCCAGGGACCCGCCGGUGCCUGGGGACCGCGGGCUGUGCAGCUGUGCCGGGCCUGCGGAGGCCGCCGCCUGGGAGCUGGGAGGCAGGGAGCGCGUGGUCCAGAGCCGCUCUCGACCUGGCCUGGUCGGUCCUGGCCCGGCAUAGGUGACGAUGGCGGGGACCGCGAGGCGCCGGACACCCGAGGCCGCGAGCAGCGUCGCCCCUCGCUUUUUCGCGCCCCUCCAGCUCUGCAGUCCUUCCUCUAACUCCGUCUGCCCCUCACCGAUUGAAAGUGGCCCCGAGAAUAUUGGAUGAGUGAUCUGGUGUCAGGACUGUAAAAUACGCCUAUGAAAACUGGGGGAGAGGAAUAAAACAAGCUGGCAGAACGUUUUUCAUCGUUGAAGCUGCGUGAUGCGAGCAUAUGCGCUCAUCAUACAGUCUCUUGUGUAUCUGAAAUUUUCCAUAAUAAAAAGUUUAAAGAAGUGAACCAAUGAUUGCCUCUAGGGAGGACAGUGAGGUGGCGGAUGACGGGAGGAAGGAGUCUUAAUUUUUCGCUGUACGCCUUUCUGUGCUCUUAGGUUUUUCCCAUUCAAUGUGUUACCUAAUUCAGAAAAUUGGUAAGUUUUUUUUAAGGCUACCAUGGGAAAACCGCGUUCUAAAGAGUAGCGCAACCAGUUCCCCGUAAGAGAGGUGCAUGAUUCGUCGGACUCGAACAGCCUUGGUGUUUGUUAGGCGGUUAAUGGAGACCCACCUGGGAAAUUAGAAAACAACUAAUUGCUUUCAGUGAGAAGCCCGCCCUUCUCCCACAAAUGGAUAAUUUGCUUUUAAUGCACACAGAAGUUAUCCAGCUCCCUCCGGUAUAAUCGGGGAAACUCCAAAUAAAGGAAAAAUAGUUCAGAGACCCUGCAGCUCUUCCCAAGAGGAAUUUAAGGUGGAUUUUAGUGUGGUUGGAUUGUUUUGCCUACCUGACUGCAGAAUUUAUAUUCUGACAUUUACAAUUUCCUAAAUACUGAAUCAGUAUUUUUUCUUGUUUCAAAAUAAAUCAACUUCUUCUAUAGUUUAUAUGAAUAACAAGUCCAUGUCUUCCAAUGUGGGUGGGAUGCACAUGACUGUUUUAUUUGGGUCAGUUUUGUCUCUUUUUUUUAAUUGGCAGUUGUAGGAACUUGUUUUUAUCAUUUUGUUUAAAGAUCUUCUGGCAGAGGUGCAGGCUGCACUUACUAUAAUUAUUUAGAUGACAAGGUGGUGGGUGGUAAUUAAAGGGUAAUUAUCAUCAGAGGCAAAAGGUAAGAUCAAAAAGCCAGAAGAGGUGAGGAGACAAUUGCAAGACCUUCCCGUAGGAGGGUGUUGUGAUCCUCCCAAGACCAAAGGAUAUGUCUAUUAUGCCUGGCCUCUCUAGUGCUGGACAUUUGGCAGGGUCAGUGCCUGCAUGAAGCUGAAGUGGAAGGGCUUUUUGUUUAGACUGGUGCCUUUUGAGGGCUUUUGUGUGAUGGUUGUGUUAAGUAAUGAAACUUAGUAGUGUCAAAUUCUUGCCACUCAAAGAAUGAUCCCCCAUCAGCAGUGUAGCAUCACCUGGAAGCCUGUAAGGAACGCGUAAUUCCUAUCCUCACCCCACCUCCACUGAAUCAGAACCUGCAUUUUAACAGGAAUCCCCCAGCUGAUUGGGCCGCACAUUAAAGUUUGACAAGCACUGAUUUAAAGUAUACCCAUAGCAUUUGACAGCAAUCUAGUAUUUUUCGUUAGGAUGAGGGAGAGGAAGGGAGAUGAUUAAGAACCUCCUAUACAUCAGGUAAGAUGCAUAGGCUGUUCAGGAGCCUUGUCUGCUGCCCGGUCUGUUACUCUAUCUUACAAGUAAGGAAAUGGGAAGACUUGUAUGUUGCAACUAAUGAGGGAGUCAAACUUUUUCUUAACGGUUGGAUACCCGUUAGUACUUGUUGGUGUUCUUGAAUCUGGUAGAAAGUGGUACAUGAUUUGAGAAGUAAACAAGUGUGUGUGUGUGUGUGUGUGUGUGUGUGUGUGUGUGUGUGUGUGUGUGUGUAUUUAGUCUGUGGAAGCUUAGUAUAUGAAUAUUAAGCAGAGCUCUUCUGGGCUCUGUACCCUUGUGUGGCUCACACUAAAGACACCCCUCCGGCCCCUCCUGGAGGGAGUUCAGACUCCUGGCCCUGCAGGCUGUACCACCACCUUAACCCCUUACCUCCCUGCUUCCACUGAGGCAGGCAAAUGCCCUGAAGUUCCCUCAUUCCCUUACCAGGGCCAUGGGUGCCACACCAGAAUGAGCAAACAGGACUCCAGUGUGGGUAACGCAUGGCUGAACAGCUUUUUGUUGUAUUGUUUUUGUUUUCUUAGUUCUCUCAGCUCAGGCUCCACCCUCUGCCCAUCCCCCUGGCCACCCUCAACCCCUAGAGUGGUUGUCUCCAUUUCAUGAGAAUCUUCACACUAACAUCAAGUAGCCAGUAGGUGCUUUUGGUUUUGCUAGAAUGCCUGUGUGCAAGCUCUCAGAUACCUGAUUUUCUUUCCCCCACUGAAUGUUGUUUGUCAGAAACUGAAAUCAUGGAUCGGAGCCAAGUUUGUAGUACCCUUAGGAGGGGCCUCUGCCCUCCUGUGUGCUGCCUGGGUGAGGACAGAACCCCCUAACCUGGAGCUCCACUUGAGUGGGCCCAUACCUGUACUUUCCUCUGAAAAAAGAAAAUCCUACAAAGAAAAUAGAAGACAUCUGUUCUGCCAUUGCCAUGCCCUUGUUCUAGCCCAGACAUGAGAACUGUCAGAAUUGGAGUUACUAAAUAGAACUUUUAGUCUUUUUCUGAUAAUGUGUAGUAAAGUGUAUUACAACUUAUAGAAUUCUAUUUAGGGAACUACAGGUCAGAAACUACCAUAUUGGUAGCAGUCAAUUUUUCUUUGCCAUCGGAUGUGGAAUAAAAUGUUAAAUUGUA